GGGAGCUGCCAUUGAACAUAGUUAUGAUAGCUUAUUUUGUUGUGUCUUAUGAUCUGAGCCAGUGGAAGCAUGUAGAUAUUAAAUAAAAGAGGUCCCAGGAUGGAACCUUGGGGAACUCCACGUUAUUUUUCUC